rnacentral:lncRNA from 1 species
CAAAAGCACACUCUUUGCUACUCCUUCUAUUCUGUGUGUGGUUUUGAAAACUUACACUAGUAAAAAUGCUGUAUCUGAAUGUAACUUCUUGCAGCACACCUUUCCAGACAGGGAAAAAAAAUGCCAAGAAAUUAACCAGGAGAUUUUGACAUGUGUCUUCUGAACAGCAAGCUAAUUCUCAGCUUCCACACUUUGUGCUAUUUGAAUUGCGCUUUGCAGUCACAUGCUUCAAGCUAAUUGCUCCCAUGCAAAGCCUGUAGGAAGCAGAAAAGCAAAGUUCCUGUGGCAUAGUGACUGUUCUGGAGAAUGCUGUCAGUGAAUUUUCCAUUGCUGGGCACAUAUAAUGAAUGAGAAAAAGUGCAGAGAGCCUAAAGGAUCCCAGGGUGCUUAUGAAUACUUUAAUUCAUUACUGGAAUGAAUUCUCUUUUCAAUAAAUUAUGAGGUAAGUCUAACAGAAGUCGAAGUGAUAAGUCCAGAAUUGUUACAGGCAAGAAAAGAAUGUGUUGUUUUUUCUCUUUUUCUUUCCAUUUAGAAAUGCAAUUGUGCUAUUAUAUUUGUUAAAAAGCAUUUUGAUGUGUUCUCCUUCAUGAGACCAAUGUGUCUAUGCAUACUUGAAAUGAACCAAUUUUAUUCAUUGCUCUGUGUUGAUUAGAAUGAAAGUCUCUGUGGGAGAGGGAAACUGAAGUUAUGAAAGGCAGCCCCAAGCCUUCUAGAAGUUGCACUCUUGCUAAACCAGCAAUUAGUGGGUAAUUUCAUGAGUUACUGAGUGAAGCUGGUAAGGUGUGGGUUAUGCGGGUGGUAUAAUGAUGUCUUUUGGGCUUGUAACCCAUAAUUCUGUCUGUUCUCUUGCUUUUUUUAUGGGGGUUAUAACUCCACUGAAGCUAGUUUUCUAUGGGUGUUGUAAUAUCCAGAUAGAGCACAUGACUGAGAAAUGCUGUGUAAGUUUAAAGUAGACACAGCUGUAAAGGAACAAUAGAAAACAGACGACAAGUAUGUUGACAUCUCAGGGCUCCAAAAGUGGAAAAGCUGGAAAUCUGAAGGUGGAGGUGUUGAUAGUGCAAGGAGGCUGAAGAAACCCUAGGGAAACUGGAAACUGUGGAAAACUGUGAAACUAUUUAUGCUGUAGCUUAUUGAAGAAGUAAGAUAAAUGUGGGAGAAUGUUUAACCAUCUAACUACUUUUAAAAGAGGUCUCAUCCUGCAAGGGGAAGUCCACCAGCCUAGGGGAAAGGAAGAGAAGGAAGGGGAGAGCAGAGAUGAGGUAUGGAUAGCUUCCCUGCUUCAAGAAGAGAGACAGUUAAAAAUUCCAAAACUGAAACAAAAUAUUUUGCUUCAGAUAUGGAGUCUAAUACAUUCUGUGUGUCUUAUUCAGACUGGGCCUACAUGCCUAGGAAGAUAAUGCCUUAUAGCACACUAUAGUUUCUGUGCCAUAUACUAUCUUAUUAUAUCUAUUAUCCUAAUCUGCCCUAGUUUCAGCUGGGACAGAGUUGAUUUUCUUCAUAGCGUCUGGUAUGAUGCUAUGUUUUGGUUUUAGGAGAAAAGCAACAUUGAUAGCACACUGAUGUUUCUAAUUGUUGCUCAGCAGCUCUUCAUAAAGCCAAGGCCAUUUUAGUUUUCUUGGUGACGCUCUGGGGAUAGAAUCAGUACACAUGACUUAAACUGGCUGAAGGGAUAUUCCAUACCACACGACAUCAUGUGGAAGGAAAGUUUUGAAAGGGUUGGAAGUUCAUCAGACUUCCAUCCACUGCUCAGGGCCUAGCUGGGCAUUCAUUGGUGGAUUGUUUGUACAUUACUUGAUAUGCAGUCAUAUGUAUAUUCCUCAUUUUCAGUCUUCAUUUUCUCUUAUUAAAUAGUUUUGUCUCAACCCAUAAGUUCUACAUUUUUUUGAUUCUCUGCCCCGUCCCACUAGGAAUAAGGGGAGUGAAUGAAUGACUGUGUGGUGCUGAGCCACCCGCUGGGUUAAACCACAGCAGUCUGUGCUGAAGAGAACUAAAUCAGUGACGCUCUCAGAUGAGAUGAACUUAUUAAUUUGAAUGUUCUGUCCUGUGUCCAUUUGCAUCACAAAUGGUGGGAGUUUUUUAAAAGUUCCAAGAAUAAAAUACAUAUAAUUCCAGGGAAAAAAAAGACUGAAUUUCAGAAUGAAUGGAAACUGCUGAAAAACAUAGGUUUGGAAAAUAUGGUUCUACUUCAAAAGCACUUAGAAACAAUCUGAAUGAUUAAUAGGUUAAAAAAAUAUUUCCUAUGGCUUUCAGAUAUUCUAUCUCCCUUGGCCCUUAUUAUAAAUUACUGUUUUUGUAUGAACACAAUCUUUAUUCCUUUGAAUAAAUAUACAGAACUUUAUACUACUCUCAGCCUUCAGGAUUUUACAGAUAUUUUUAUGGGUAUGGUUGAUCAUUUUUCAAAAACAAUUCUGCCUCUGGGAUGUUUAGUAUAACGUUAUUAAUCAUUAUAUAGAUAGGUUUUCUUGAAAUAUUGGUGCUACUAUCUAUCUGGCUUGAGGCAAGCAAGCUAGAAAUAACAUCUGUGAUUCUCAGUUAGUAACUGCCAACCUCUUCACCCUUGUCCCACACUAUUUUGGAAAAAUCAUAGAAUCAGAAUCAUAGAAUUGCUCAGAUUGGAAAAGACCUUAAAGAUCGUCAAGGCCAACUGCAACCUAACCAUACUACCCUAACUCUAACAACCCUCCACUAAAUCAUGUCUCUGAACACCACAUCUGAACAGUCUAUAAACACAUUCAGAGAUUACCUCUUGUAAUGAAAAGGAGAGCCCUCUCAGAGUUGUAUAGGUGUGGCACCAGUGUACCAGCAAAUCUGCUCCUGCUAAGCCUAUUCCUGCCAGAUUCUGAUGCUCAGCACCUUUUUACUAGCAGAAAUAGGCCCAAACCAAAAUUCUCAGCACAAGGCUUCUCAGUUUCAAGGAUGUUCUAUGUUACCAGUAUUUGAAGUUCGGGCCUGUUAAGUUUCCUUAUCUGUGUUAUGCAAUACUUCAGGUAGGAGUAACUGAAUAAAUUAGGAGUAAUUUAGCAAUUAAUUAGGAGUAAUUUAGCAAUUAACUGAAAUGCAACAUUAAUGAUUGCCUGUCUUUGCCAUUCAUAAGUAAUUGAUAUGAUUUUUCCGGAAGUAACGAAUUCUUUAGUGGUAGAAAAUGUGAGAGAGUGCUCUUUUUGUUAAUCAGAAUUCAUUUCCAGGUGAAAUAGAAGGAAAUUGUGUGUAGGUGUGUCUGGCUUAAUCAAAGUAUUUUUUGAGAUCAUAGGAAAUUCCCAAAAAUGCUACCUGCGGUAGGACUUCCCAGAUAUGACACCAAAGCUUUUCAUGAACUUUCAGAGUUUAGAAGCAGGCCAUUUAUCACAGAAGAAGAAAUAAUGUUUUUCGAAUGAAACACUGCAUCUAGCUUAAAAUAACAAGGAACAGUGGAAUCAAUCACUUGAUUCCUUGUGUCCUUAAUAAUGAAAAAAAUUGUCCUUGUUGCUGACAUCACUGAAAACAAUACCUUUUAUGUCAGCAGCCUAGGAGUGAACUGUGAAAUUUAUUUAGAAGGUGCUAAAUCUUCAAAACACAAAGCAGUUUCUGCAGUGUACUGAAUGCCUUUGUUUCCCUCUUGAUCAUAGGGUUAGGCUCAGCAUCAUGAACAACUGUCUGUUAUGUGGCCUCUCCAUCUAGGAAUCAUUUAGAGCUCAUCAGAACAAAAUUUCCAUGUGGGAAGAAGAAAGCUUUCAGAAGUGAUUCUGUUGCCCCCAGUAUUUAGAUCAGAGCUGAAAUUAUAUCUGCUGUUGCAGUGCUUUGUUUUGCAAAGACCCUCAUAAAUUUAUCCUCCCAUUUCCCCCUAAUGAUAGUCUAGUUUUGGUCCUGUCACUAAGUUUGCAGAGUAUCCCUGCUCUGAUGGCUUGUAAGCCUCUUCUGACUUCUAGCCUACAGCUUGUCCUGUUCAUCUUUUGCACAUCUAUUCAUAAUCUACCAUUGUCUUUCAGUUGAAUGGCUAUGUACUGUUGUCUCCUUUAUGUCUGUCCUCAUAAUAAUUUCUAUUUCAGGCAGCACACAUAUUCCUUCAGUUUUUAUCCUGCUUACCUAAACAAGUUAAAAUUGUUUACUUUUUUCUUGUAAACAGGGCAGUACUAAGUACUCUAGAUAAAACCUCACUGCUACUAUGUACAAUGGCAUUAAUACUUCCAUAUCUUAUCUAAAAGUAUCUGUUUAGAAUAAUUUUAAGGAUCAUGUUAGCAUUUUUAUUGCCACAUUGCUUUAGUGAUGUUGUUUUCCUUAAACGGGAACUGCUGGCUUCAUAUAUAUAGUGAUAUAGUUUUAACAGAAUCAAGAUUUCACCCACUGCCUUUGCUUUAUUUUUAUGAUUUUGUCAUUUAGCGACUUGUCUACUACAUGUUUUGACAUUACUUAUCCCUUGUCAUACUUCUGACGCACACGCACAAGCAAAACAAAACAAAAACAAAUCAAAAAACCAAAAAAUAAAAAAACCCACCAUAAAUAAGUCACAAAGUAAACAUGGAACAGAACAACCAAGUUCUUUGCUGCUGUUAUUUCUUCAGCAGUCAGAAGCAGAGGACUGGUCUUUGCUAAAAUUUAGAAAGCAGAAACAGCAGAGUAGUUCUUGCUGAAGUCAGAAAGAACUCAACAAUUCAUAAAUCUAGAGACCUAAACACCGGCUGUACUUGCUUUAAAAUACAUAAGUACAGCUUAGAGGGGAUGAGAAGUCAAUUUUCAGAAUAAGGAGACACCAGAGCUAAGUAAAUACAUGGAAAGACCAGACACUAAGGAAGGAUAUAAAAAUGUGGAGGUAUCUCAAAAGAAAUCAUAAUCAACAAAUACAGAAACAGACAUUAUUGGAAAAACAUUGCAGUUCCAUGAAAUCUUAACAAGCCAAGCCACAAGUCUAUAGCUGCAGCAGCUGUUCAUUUCACAGCCAUGGAAGACGUGAUGCUUGAAGAUACGCCAACAAAGUACAGAAGACAAAUGUGAAUCCACUUUUAAUUUUUUUUAUUUUUAAAACAAUACUUUGCUCAUUGUAAAAUAAUACCUUAGAGAGAAAUUACUUGCCUAUUUAGACUCUGGGCCUAGCAAGCAUACUGGCAGUAAACUGCUUUGUUACUGCUACUGCAUAGUCUUAUUUCAUUUAUGAAGAGAACCAUGGUGAUGCUUCAGAACUGAUUACUUCAUCUAAUUUAGCAUGCAUGAUUCAAAAAAUUUAAACUCGAACAGGCUACAGACAAGCAAAGAGCCAUUCCUGCCUGCUCUGUGCUUGUUCUGGACAUUUUGUCAGUAGGCGCUACCAUGGCACAGGAAAGGAGAAUACUUGCACAGAGGCUUUUAAUUAGUUCUUCAUUUAUUUUGAUUAUGGAAAUAUUUUUUUCUUCUUCUGCCUUCCAGUGGGCAGAAGGCAAAUAGCUUCCAGAGUACUGAUGCUAAUAUACAUACAAAGAAGGUGGUUCUGACUAGUUGAUGGUGACUGGUCAGUAUCAAAUCUAAAUGUCUGUGAAACUUAUUUUGAACUAACUUAGAUCAGAGUUUGUGCUUUUCAGUAGGCCUUGGAGCUAUUGCAGAUUUUUUUGAUUAAACCCACUAUGCAUGCUAAUGCUAAAGAAUAUAUAGUCAGUCUAUAGUCUCUCAUUUCCAUGCUAAGAUGAAUAGAAAUCAUUGGUUUUCAGAAGGUGAUGGAGAGGGUGUUAACCUUCAAGAGAUCAUUGUAGUUUGAAAAGCAGAGUCUGAAAAUUCUGAAAAAAAAAACCUAUAGUGUACAAAUGUCUUCAAGUAUAUAAGAGUCAGGUCUGUUGUUGAACAAAAGCAACAUGCACAGGCUGUUUCAUCAUCUGACUUCUUAAAAAGGCCAUGCUCUGUGGCUGGAAAUUAAUAACAUAUUGAAGCUCUUGAAGUUGAUGAUAUGAGAGAAAUGAAUUACCUCUGGAACUAAUACAAAACUAUUUCAGUUAAUGUUAUCUCCUACUCUACUUCAAGAACUUAACCCAAAGCUGACCCAAAACAUAAUACCAUCUUUGUAAAAUCUCUAGUUUCUGUUGGAAGAAAUACAGUGAGACUUAAGAUACAUGCAUUCUCUUAAUCUGAAGUACUUCCCUCCAGAAAGUUCUUUUUUGAGAGUGGCAGAGCUGCACAGGGAAGUCUGAAUGAGCUACCUUUGAGUGCACAGGACACUGCUUUGAGAGUUACCUUUCUCCUAUGUCAUACCGCUAUUUGAGAAAGACCUCGUCUCUGCAGAGAUAUGUGAUUUUGCACUAAUCCUGCAGAAGAGGCACUGCCCAAUCAUUCCAGCAGUCCCCAUCAGUGGCAGUUCCUUUGGGUAGGUGGUCAUAAAGCAAGCCAGCAGCAGUGAGAUCUUCAAGUUAUUUGGUUUUCUACAAAGUAAAUAUUUGGUCUCCUACAAAGUAAGUAUGUGCAUUCAGGGACAGAUAAUGGUUUGGAGGACAUGCACAUUGAUGCAGUACAGAGAGGACUACAGAAGGCAUUAGGUCAUUUGCUUAAGUCUAUUUCAGAUCUCUAACUAGUCUCUGUAUCUCUGAGCUCCUGAAAUAUUGAGUCAAUCACUCUGUUUUUGAUCAGGGCAAGCUUUACUAAUGUCUUUAUAGAGCACAUAUGGACCUGUCACUGGACUCUUUAACUGACACAUUUACAGUAAUCAUUCGUCUGGCACACAGGCAUUAGCACAUAAAACACUAUGUUUGCAAAGUUAAUUUUAAUAAUAAGAUAUUAAAAAUGUUCAGCAGACUUCCCCACGUUUUUGCAGAAAAGAAGUCUGUGGGGUAUCACAUUUGCUUGUAACAGGGCACAAGAAAUGAACAGCAGUCAUCAACUGUGACCUGUUGGAGAGAAGUGGUUCUCUCUUUAUUGAUAGGGCAGCUAUAUGGAUUUACUUUUUUGUGGAAUGGUGAAUUGGACUGGCCAAGCUUCACAUCCACCUUACUUUCAUUUCUGUGUAUUCCACAGAAUGUGACUGGUCAUUACUAAAAUACUGUUUUGUUCCUUGUUCCAAGGGUUCUGCUGGCACAAAAGUUUGUCAGUUUUGCAAAGGUUUAACAUAAAGAUAUGAGGUUUGCCUUCCUGGUGAAUUAUACAGAAUGCUUUGGAAACGUUUGGAAACCUCUGGAUGUGCAAUGCUUUAUUUUUCCUGCAGUAUUUGAAGCUCUUGAAGAGGUGUCCUCCCAUCAUUAAGUGCUGCCAUACAGGCUCCUUGUGUCUCAGUAGAAUUGCCAUUAUUUAGGCAGCAAAGAGGUGCUCCAUGUUUCCAUUUCUGUCUUAUAGCUUCUGAUUACUUGAAUGCAUGUACCUAGCUAAGAGGCAACAAAGUAUGGUACAAGCUGAUUUGUACUCAUCUCAGCUAAAAUGUUUUGAUUUUCAUGCUUUCCAGUAGUAGCAAUUUGUGCUUAAGGGUCAGUAGCAUAGAUAAUUUUUAAAAGCUUUUAAAACCACUUAUUUUGACAAGAUUGAGCAGAAAUAAAAAAAUAAAAAUAAAAAUGUCAGAGGCCUUGAACAACCCCAUAUACAAUGUAAGGGUGAAAAAUAGCACAGGAAAGAUGUUCGUGCAGGAAUGUUUUAGCAGGGAAAUUAUUAAAUAAAGCAAAAAUCUCCUCCAGUGACAGAGAAAUGCCUUAUCUUUCUUAACAAGCAUUGUGAGCAAACCUGUUUCGAGGUACAAGUUUCUAGCUUCUCAUUUCUAGAUACUAAGAAAAAAAAAUUACAAAAUUGCAAAAAGAUUGGGAACAAAAGCAAAACUUGUGAGAAAAGCAUUCUUAGUUUUGUGUCCUUGUUCUGGAAAAAAGAUCCCUUUUGCAGCACUUCUUGGCAACCACUUAAUUAAUACAUGACUGAAGAUCUACUGCAAGGGAUAAUCAUUCAUAUAUUGUACAUAGCUCUUCCUGUAUGAGUUAUCCCUGCAUUUCUUACAUGGUUUGACAAACAGUUGAAUUACUGACAUUUAAAAUAUCCUUAUUAUCAUCAGACUUAGCACAGGUAGAAAUAAAUAAAAUCCUCUUACACCUUGUCUUGUUAUUUCAGGUGUCCUGUAAAUUCAGACAGUAAGUUACAUUUUUGAGGUUUUCUUUGUAAAUAGAAGCUCUAUACACUGACAUGUUGAAAAACAGCAUUCUCCUUCCCUAAAAUAAAACAAAAUACAGUUGAGUAUCUGGAGAACAUUUAAGAUGUCUGGACAGAGAGCUACAUGUGCACAUAAACAGAAAGCAAACUGACAAAAGAUUGUUUAUUUCUGAUAGUAGUUGUUUCUAAUGCCUGGAUGUUUUUACAUUUUAAAGAUAACAACAUUUUUUUCUGCAGAGGUAUCUGGAUUACUGAUGUUCCAUCACAUAUGUAGUGACUAAAUAAAGGUUGACAGAGCUAUUUCACAGUUAAAGUGUAAGAGGACAAAAGAGGGCAAAAUGAUAGGAUUUUGGUUUUGAACUACUAUCCAGAAAAAUAAAAACACCCAAAGAAGGAGUACCAGGUUUUCAGUAAUUAACUCCUCACAGAAUUCUGCAAGAAAGAUAUACACCUAUCUGAAAUACAAGACUAUGAAGAAUGUUAUUCUGAAUGUAAAUGUAUUCAGUACAAGAUUUCAUUUUUUUGAAUGAAUCUUGGAAGGUCUGGUAGAUGUAACUGUAUUCUCUCAACCAUUCAAUAGAAAGUCAAGGAAGCUAACAGAUAUAGAUUGCAUUUAUGCCAGUCUGAUUAUAAAUUCCUGCCUAUCCUCAGAUGGAGGACAAGCAAGUGAAGUUCCAUAGCUAUAGCUCAGAUGAAACCCAAUAGUCAAAAUGUUGAAGAUGGGAACAUAGGUAGCUUGGGCAGCAUUUUUCCACCUGUAUUAUCAAUUGAAGGGAGAAAUUGUUGCAGGCCCACCUGUUGAUUUAUAAUGUGUUGCAGAAAAAAAAACAGAAGAAAGGAUGGAGGUCACCUGGGGAAAGAAAAAUCUGAGGUCCAGAGGUAUUUUCUGUUGACUUCAGUGAAGAGCGACAUUGAGAAAGCUGUUAAGCCUUGUCACAGAUACUUAAAAUAAAUUCAGGUCAAGUUGAGUCAAACUGCUCAUAUUAACUCAUUAAAAAGUCUGUUCUCUUGGAAAAAAAGUGUGCAUAGCUUUAUUGUGUUAGGUGGAAAAAUGUGUGUAGUAGUUUCAAACUAUUUUGUUUCAUUACACAAAGUUGAUCUUACCAUCUUGGAUUGUACACAUCAUAUGAUUUUUUCAGAUCAUAGUGCAUUUGAUAUGGCAGACAUGGAAUGUAGACUCAUAACCAUGCUUGCAGUUAACUGUGGGAAAAAAAGUAUAAAAAUUAACUAUCCUUUUAAUUUUUUUCAAAAUAACUAUCUGGUUUCUACCUCAUAAAAUUUCAAAAUAGCAAAGUUGAGCAAAGUGAUCCCAAAUCUAUUGACAGCAGUUUGACUGAAAACUUAAACCAACUACUUUUGUAGUAGUAGAAACUGACAUCUUACUUGUUAAAAUAGUUGCAGAGAAAUGGAUGGACAGAUGAAGUAUCACAGGAAUCUGCACAUAUUUUAUGUACUGAGAAUUUGCACUAGUUCAAAAAGGAGAUUCUGGGUAUGCCUUAAUGAGAAAGAUUGGUCAUAAGAGACAGUAAAGAUCCAAAUCCUGUGAGCAUCAAUGUUUGGUGAGAUACUUGUAUCCAGUGGGUAACAUAGGAAUAUCUAAGACCCAGAGUGGUGGUAAACAAACCAGCUAGCUGCUGAUUUGAUCUGGAAAGUUUAAGGCAUAUCACAGAUGAAAAGGAUUGAAAUGGUUGAUCACUUUCUCUUGUGAAAGUGAGGACUCAUAAGAGCAGUAAAGCGCUGCAUGACCUAGAAAGCCCAGGGCAGGGCUAGUAGCAGUGCCCUAAUAUGUACUGUACUAUUUCUGAAGCAGGUUAGUUAGCUUCUAUGCCUAUUUUUGCAUGACAUGAUAUUCGGCCAAAAAAGUAACCUUUACUCAGAGGGGAAAGAAGGGAUAAAUAGUUCACUUAAUAAAUGCAAUUUUUUUCCCAAACAAUAAGGCAUUUUCCUUUGGCUUUUCCUUUUGCAUGCCAAGAGGCUCCUUUCAAAAAAGUAUGGAAAGGACACAAAACAUGUGAACACAACUUGUCCCUCCAGCAUUCUGUGCAGAGCUCAAAAGAAAAAAAAAACAAACCACAAAGUGAUGAAGAAACAAGAUCUGACUGACCAGCUUUUCAUUCCAGAAUUUAAAACAAUAACCUGGAGCAAAAGCUUAGCAAAGAAGGUCAGCUGGAGUGUUGCAGGGAACAGAAGGGCUGGCAGUUUUAGAGGCACCUCACUUUCACAGAACCAGAUGAACAAAUUACUGCCUGUGUAUGACUGAGCAGAAGAUUGUAGAGACUUGAGCUAGGUGCCUCUGAGUGCAGCUGAAGCACUGCUUGCUUUUCUGAGCCAACAAAAUACUCAUUAGCUCGUCCACAUUUGUGUGAGGGAAGCUGAGCUGGCGCGAUCACCGCUGGGGGGAGGGGGAGGAGAGCAGAUGUCGGGGGAGAGCAGGGACCUCUGAGAUAUGAUGUUGGUAGGAAGGGCCAAGGAUCUUAAGUCAGCUGAGUCAGCAUUAUAUGCUCUGUCUCCUACUCCAUAAAGGUGGCACACGUUCCAGCCAAGCUGCAAUUAGGCUAAGGCAGAUAACACUCAAGUGAAAACUGAGCUUGAAAAUUCCUAUUAUUCUUUGUUCAUUCCAGAAAAAAAUUCUGUGACAUGACUCUGAGGGCUGAGAGAUUGGAGGAAGCAUAUUUUCUGACACUGAAGAGAAAUCAAUUUGGCUGAAUAAACCAGAGAGAAGAGCAUGCCUCUCCUUACAGUUUAUUAUCCUAAUAACCAUUGCUAUGCACUUUAAAGCAAUAUCCUACGUGCUAAAUAUCAGCAGUGAACUCUUUGGUGCCCAGAAAGUGAGGAAUGUGCAGAUCAUAUCCUGAGAAAUUCUAUCUAAAACAUCGCUGCUGCAAGCUAGAAAGAAAGAAGACUAAAGGUUUGCAGGUUCUGCUUUCUGAUACCAAACUACUCCAACUCAGAUCAUUGCUGCAAUCCACAGAAUCAAGAAGAGCAUUUCCAUUGUGUUCAUUUUCCUGUGGUGUGGGCACAAGAAAUGCCUAAGGUAUGGGUACCUUUGUGACCAUAGCUCAUCUAGGCAGGUGCCCUGGCAAGCUCAGCUCCUGAGCCCAGCCCAUAGCCAGCAGCACUCCAGGAGGGCAGUGGGAGCUGCCCACAGCUCCAUGCUCCCUCCCACCUCCCAGCCCUGUGGGCUGCUGGCCUCCUCAGUGUGCUGGGAGCUCAAGCUGGGUGGGAGCACCGUGGGGAACCCAGCCAGUUGUGCUGAGCACUGGUGAGGGACAGCGCAUUUUGCUGUCUAGAAGAAAAAUGUUGUUAUGUCUAACAUUUAAUGCAGUGCUGGCACCAUGAAGCUGCAGGCAGAUUUGUUUAUUUGACAGGCUCUGCUAACUUGACUUUCUAAGGGUAAAAACCUACAUUCCUAUUUGGAAAGGAUUCCUGAAGGUGGAGCAACCGCAUGGAUCAGCAGUCUCUCAGGAGGGUUGGCAAGGUGUGCUUGGACAUGGCCCAGCCCAAGGCCAACAUGUCACAGCCUAAUGCAACAAGUCGUUUUGCUUGUUCUUGCCAGAGCCUCCCAAAAGCACGGUCCUGUGCAUGCAUCUUGUUGCUUUCUUCCAUUAUUAUAUCAGUAAGUUUCAGCCAUUGUGGAAUCAAAAAUGGGAGUUACUUGAAAAAUAUUUCUUGUUUCUCCUGGUUAGGGAGUCAUGCUGGUUAAAUUAUAUCUUCAAGGGAAGAAAUGCUUGCAGAUACUGUUGAUGACUCAGUUGGUUUAUAAGACAGACUGUUGUUUUAAAGGCAGUGUGUGCUUGUUCAGUGGACACCCUCGGUGCCAUCAAAUGUUAGUAACACUGACCAAAAAAGGUAUUUCAUCUUGGAUUUGAGAAAGUAUAAAUAUUUACAUGAAAGGAAAAACAUAGCUGUAGUUUCAAAAGGCCAGUGGAAAAACAGUAAGCUCCAUCAUAUCUAGAACUGGAACUUUAUAAAACACCUUUAAUACAAUAAAUAUCCAUCCUGUUUGUUGAAAUGAACUGCAUGUGCUAUGUCUGUAAGGUCUGCAAGGAGAACCAUUGAUAUAUGAGGUAAGUAUUAUGAAGACUUUGUAAGAGUAGAGGAAGUUUGUGCCAGGAAAGACUGUUUCUCCAAGUCUCAUCGCACCAAUAUUAAAAGUGAUUUUUUGCAUCAGCAGACACCGUGAAAGCAGAGCUGGAUCUCAGAACUGGGAAUAGGCAGUAGAGCCAUAUCAGAAAAUAGGGUAUAAAGAGCCAGAAACUAAUGAUGAAAACUGAGCAAGGAGAAACAGGAUCCAGGGAGAAGUCAAAACUGUAGGCUCCAGAAUCUCCUUAAAAGAUUUUUUAUAAGGCAUUCUCCUGCUAUCUAACUAAUGAUUUUGGCAGUGAAGAAGGAAUACUGUCCCACUUGUCCCCAAGCUGCUCAGGUUCUCUCAACCCCUACCAGGGAGUUGGUUGAGUCACUGUCCCUGGAGGUGUUAAAAAAUAUAUUUGAAUUUUGUACUGACGGACAUGGUUUAGUGGGGAAAUAUUGGUGGUAGGUGAAUGAUUGGACUAGGUUGUAUGGGAGGUCUUUUCCAACCUUGGUGAUUCUAUAAUUCUGUGAUUUGCAGUAUGUACAUUUUUUCUGUCUAUGUUGAAAGGAAUGAACCAUAAAAAUUAAUUUGUUCCACGUACAUAUUUACAGGAAUUUUAAUGAAGUAGCUGUUAAUUUGAUCUGUACCUUGAGCCAGCUGUAUCAUACAAGCCCAGUUUCUGUGUAAUAAAAGUGUGUGCAACACUAUAUAUCUUUAGAUAUGUGAAAAUACUUUGAAGAUAAAUAUACACAGAAAGAUAAACACAUGCAGACAAACUCACAGAAUGGAAAAUAUAAAGCAUUCUAUAUAGUAUACAUCUGACCUACACUGACUACACAUGCAGAACGUUCAGCUUCCUAUGGUUAAAUGAAUAGUACUAAAGAAUUUUAACUAUCAGUCUCAAUUGAAUCUCUUUAAGUUUCCUGAAACAUUUAAAACUGUGAGUGGAAUCUCAUGCUUCCUAUGCUAAAUUUAAUUUGGAACACAAGCUAAUGGAAAUAUAGUUAAUUUAAGCCAAAGUUUGAAAGGAUUUUGCAAUCCGUAAACAAUAUAAAGUGGUUACAGCCUUGAAUAUUUAGCCUCUGAGGUAGCAUGUAUUUGCCUCUAUUUUGUGAUUGUCACCCUACUCAUUAGCAGUAAAGGAUUUUAUUAGUUUGUUUAAGAACUGGAAUACAUUCAGUCUUUCCAAAUGAAACCUGCUACUAGUGACAUAACAGAAAUAAGCAAAAUAAAACAAAUUUAGUAGCAUCUUAAGUCUGACAACACUGAAAGUUAGUCAUCUCACAUGAUUCAUGCACAAAACACUGCGGAUGACAAGGUCCUCCUUAAUGACAAAAAUACCAGGGAAGAUGUGCAGCUUUCAGCUACCAUAUGAUUUUCCCUGCCUUUCAAGAAUGAAAGCAGCAACUUUGCUGUUUGUCAACUUCAAAUGAUCUGGUUGGAAGCUACUACUACUGUCUUUUUCUUCAACAGGACACAAUCCCUUGGCUUUUCCUCUCACUUUCAUUAUUAUAUGUCAGA